rnacentral:rRNA from 1 species
AUUGAACGCUGGCGGCAGGCCUAACACAUGCAAGUCGAGCGAGCGGCGGACGGGUGAGUAAUGUCUGGGAAACUGCCUGCUGGAGGGGGAUAACUACUGGAAACGGUAGCUAAUACCGCAUACCAUCAGAUGUGCCCAGAUGGGAUUAGCUAGUAGGUGGGGUAAUGGCUCACCUAGGCGACGAUCCCUAGCUGGUCUGAGGGGAUGACCGGCUGCACUGGAACUGGGGCACGGUCCAGACUCCUACGGGAGGCAGCGGGGGUGAAUAUUGCGCUAUGGGCGCAAGCCUGAUGCAGCCAUGCCGCGUGUAUGAAGAAGGCCUUCGGGUUGUAGAGUUCUUUCAUCGGGGAGGCGUUACCCGGAGAAGAAGCACCGGCUAACUCCGUGCCAGCAGCCGCGGUAAUUC